GACGAACGCUGGCGGCGUGCUUAACACAUGCAAGUCGAACGGUGAACCUCUUCGGAGGGGAUCAGUGGCGAACGGGUGAGUAACACGUGGGCAACCUGCCCCCGGCUCUGGGAUAACUCCAAGAAAUUGGGGCUAAUACCGGAUGUUCACCGCUUCCCGCAUGGGUGGUGGUGGAAAGGGGUUCCGGCUGGGGAUGGGCCCGCGGCCAAGCAGCUGGUUGGUGGGGUAGUGGCCGACCAAGGCGACGACGGGUAGCCGGCCUGAGAGGGUGACCGGCCACACUGGGCCUGCGACACGGACCAGACUCCAACGGGCGGCAGCAGUGGGGAAUUUUGCGCAAUGGGCGGAAGCCUGACGCAGCGACGCCGCGUGGGGGAUGCCGGCCUUCGGGUUGUAAACCUCUUUCAGCAGGGACGAAGCGCAAGUGACGGUACCUGCAGAAGAAGCCCCGGCCAACUACGUG
rnacentral:rRNA from 1 species